AUGCGGAGAAGCAGUGUUGCCUGGCUGGCGAUGUGGCCAGCACUAGGAAGGACAUCGUCGAGCUCUCUUUCAAGGAUGGCGCCUGGAAGACGCUUAACUACCAUAUCGUUCUCCUCUCUAAGAGGAGGGGCCAGCUCAAAGAAUGGCGUCAUCGGGGAGGACGGCAGUGGCGUGCCCGUGUUCGCGGAGUACACCCUCGACGAGCUACACGCCUCCACCGAUGGCUUCGCAACGGACCACAUCAUCUUCGAGCACUGCGAGAAGGAGCCUAAUGCCGUCUACCACGGACCCUCUUCAGCUCUGGCACCACCGUCGCCAUCAAGCGCUUCGACCGCUCCGCCUGGCCUGACGCACGCCAGUUCGUGGUUCGUGCCCCUUGCUUUGGUUUGCUUUGCUUCACGGGGGUGGAUCGUCACCUCGAGGAGGCUAGGGCAGUUGGGCUGUUGCAGAGCGGUCGCUUGUCCAACCUCAUGGGAUGAUGCUACGAGGGUGGCGAGCGGCUGCUCGUUGCUGAGUUCAUGA
rnacentral:rRNA from 1 species